rnacentral:rRNA from 1 species
CCUACGGGAGGCUGCAGUGGGGAAUAUUGCACAAUGGGCGCAAGCCUGAUGCAGCCAUGCCGCGUGUGUGAAGAAGGCCUUCGGGUUGUAAAGCACUUUCAGCGGGGAGGAAGGCGUUAAGGUUAAUAACCUUGGCGAUUGACGUUACCCGCAGAAGAAGCACCGGCUAACUCCGUGCCAGCAGCCGCGGUAAUACGGAGGGUGCAAGCGUUAAUCGGAAUUACUGGGCGUAAAGCGCACGCAGGCGGUCUGUCAUGUCGGAUGUGAAAUCCCCGGGCUCAACCUAGGAACUGCAUUCGAAACUGGCAGGCUAGAGUCUUGUAGAGGGGGGUAGAAUUCCAGGUGUAGCGGUGAAAUGCGUAGAGAUCUGGAGGAAUACCGGUGGCGAAGGCGGCCCCCUGGACAAAGACUGACGCUCAGGUGCGAAAGCGUGGGGAGCAAACAGGAUUAGAUACCCCUGUAGUC